UUCGAUAUAAGGAUUUUUCUCUCAAAUUUUGUUAUUUCCUUUACCUUCCUGUCCUUCUCUGUAAAGUGUAAACCCACUAAACCGAAAUUUACGAUGAAGAAAACAAAACCCUGGAGAACUGCGAUUUGUCCGAUUGAAGGAAGAAUUUAGCAAAACACUUGUAUGCAGAGAGGAUGCAUACAAGUGUUUCGCUAAAUUCUUAUCUCAAUUCCUUCAAUUCGACAAAUCUCAGUUGUAUAAGUUUUCGUUUCCGAUUUUUCAACUUGAUUGUUCUAUGAGCUCCUUCUGUUCCAAAGCAGAAAAUGUCCAACACGUUCGAAAUUUAAUCAAAGAUGAAGCGAGAAAAUGGACGCCAUAGACACAGUGUUCGAUCCGCUCAGAGAGUGAGCCAAUAAGAGCGAACGUCUCGUCAAGAGGUGCGACAAGUCCGAUCGCAAAGAAUUCGCGAAGGUUACAUUUCGUACAGAUUUAGGGUUCGUUGUGACGGGAUUCAUCGCGUUCUUCGUGAAGAUGAUGUUCAUCCCUAUCAACAACAUCAUCGUUGGAUCUGGCUAGUGCAGAUGGAAUCUCUAAAAUAUGCAGUGAAACAGACGUGUGCAUCAAUCUCUCAUUGUAAAUAUGAAUUGCUUGUCAACGAGUGCACAAUUCAUGAAGUGGGUUCCAUAUGCACAGUUAAUGUAAAUGACACAAUCCACGCCAUUCAGUGGUAUACCUCCCUCCCUCCCUCCCCCUCCCUCUUCCUCGCCCUCCCUCCUUCAGUCUCCCUCUGUAGUUGACAUCCUAUGUCAAAAGUUUACCUUUAGGACAGUCUAAUUAAAGUUGUUCCAUUAAGUGAUUUCUAACUUCAACAUGGCAUAUUCUAGUAAUUGGUUAUCAGAGCAUCCCUGGUUGCAAGGAUUGACAUCAUAAAAAAAAAUCCCAUCUACCUACCUGGCACAAAUAGCUAAAUGUGAUCCAGAGAUCUUUUUCAUUCAGCAUCAGUCAUUUUGGGCAAACACAAAGAGGAGAGUGUUUGGCCACCGGAUCUCUAGUCUAAUCUUGUAGACCGGGGAAAAUGCCAUUGCAAUCAGUUGCUCAAGGGACUCGGCUUUAUCCUAAUCAUGAAGGUUGGCUUUGAUGUCUACGGUAAGGAGGAUGGUUUAAUGGUAAGUUUCAUAGCAAGAGAUUACAGGAACUUGGUCUUUAGUCCAGAUAUCAUCAAUUCAUCCGGCUCAUCUUGGAUGUGAAGUGGUAGGUGGAAAAAUGGUCUUCGAUUGGGCUAUAAAUGAGAUGCCUAGAAGAACAUCAGGAAUUUUUGGAACAAGGGCGUUUAAUUGCCGUAACACGGUUAUGCCUGUUCAAAAGAAGAAAAGAACCAAUUUUAAAAUUUAGGAAUUUGAAAACAAAAAAGUAAUAAAAGAACUAGAAAUUGC